UUAAACACUGGUUCUCAUAUGAUUACCAAAGUUAAGCAAUGUUGAGACUGGUCAGUACCUAGAUGGGUGACCAUUUGGAAAUAUGAGGUGCUGUAA